CUUAAAGUUCAUAACAGAUAGUUAUUCACGGACUCGGCAAAUCACUUUUUGUAGAAGUGCCGUUAAGAUUGGUGAACUUGAAAAGGAUCCAUUAAUUCAUAACAGGAUGGCGAAAAAUGGAGUCAAGCAAAAUCAAAAGGAGGAAUUUUCCUGUGAGAAACGCAAUCUUGAAGACUUUGCCAAGAUUAGAAACGUAAGAGCCAUAAAAAUGAGUGGAUAAACUGACCGUGCGGAGACUGGGCCCGCAAGAUUUUGGCGUCGUCCAAGGCGGGUGGCGGGUGAAAAAGCCGGGAAAAUGAAUUAGCCCAUUCCAUAACAUGAUCUGGAACCCGGUGUGCUUACUCGGAGAUAAACAACAAAGGUAACGACUUUUUAUAAAUCUGACGCGACGUAGCGAGACAGACGGAUGAAACAAACAAACUUGGAUUCAGUUUCGAUUGACGCCUCACGACGAAAAUUAUCAGCAGCCAGUAACUGACUAGAGUGUUUGAAUGACUUGAUUCAAUAACCAGACAAACUUCUUGGACAGACCUGACAGUAAACGAUCAACAGACACACGCACACUUACUUCUGAGUUAAAGUUAAUGAGACGACGCUACAGAGGACGAAACUGAGGAAACGCAGAUACGUAUAACACUUGUCAUGUAGUUCUGACGCGCACUACGUUUGGUGCAGCAAUUUGCCCGAGCUGUGGGAAUUGGGCAUUCCUGUUUACCACCCUGAAGGAUAUGAUUUUAAACUUGUUUUUGUCUGAAAAAGUUUAAAAAAAUGAUUUUCGCGAUCUAUUCCAGAAUAGGGUGUGACUUUUACCAGGAAGUAAAAGGCAAAAAUUAGUUAAUUGGCGUGACAUACUUUAUAGUGAAUUACCCAGAGAAAGACACAACACCCGCCUUAGUAGUGACACGUGGUAUUGAAAUGAAUCAUAUCCCUUAGCUAGCCAGAAGUAAUUUGCAGUUUUAAAAACCGAGUUGCACACGAUUCCCAACCAGGAGUUCCUGUAUCUUCGGGCAAUUUGCUUAUAAGAUCGUAUAAACUGGGGAACAUUUUGCAGUGUUCACCGGUUUGCAGAGAAAAUGUAUGGUAACUUAUACGUUUCUUUAAUUGAUUAAGUGGUAUGUGUUAUACCAACUACUUACGUUUUAUUGUCCUGUUUGUUUUGUGUUGUGACCUCCGUUUAGAAUAAACUUGUAGUUAAACGUGUGUAUGAAUGUGUUGUGUACUGUAUAAAUGUUUGUGGUUGUUGCUCUGUGUCUAGUGACGUGUGUGUAUGUAUACCUGCCAAACGUGUCCCAAGUUUCUUUCUUUUCGUCAGUUUACCACGCAAUCUUCACCGAGGAAAAUUACCUCGGUUAUAGUUUUAUAUUCUUCCAUCACAUGACGUGCAAUUUUUAUGUGCUUUAUAUCAAUGCCAAUUUAUUUCACAUGGGUCAUUUCACAUAGCUAUAGUGCGCAUUACUUUUGAUAGCUAUUUUCAUCUUAGAAUACUAGCGGGUUAAAGUCCACUUCAGGUCUGUGUUCUCUAUCUCCUCAAACGGUGCUCAUAUUUUUCAUUGUCUUUAAGUUCGGCGUUAAUCUUGUGAUGAUGUUAAAAAUUGCUGUGUAUGUCUUCUAUUAGUGCUCAUGUUUUAUAACUUCCUAUUGUGUCCUGUGGCGUGUCUUGUACCUUGUGGCGGUGUCUAUAGUGUUGCCGGACGUCUCGUACAAGUUUCGUGUUUUUACUGUUUGUGUUUCAUGUUUUUAAUGUCUUUGUGUCCUGUGUCAUUGUUGUCUUAUGUUGAUAAUUAUGUUGUUUUUGUCUUGUGUCAGUGUUUCAUAUUUUUGAUGACUUUGUGUCCUGUGUCAUUGUUGUCUUGUGUCGAUAAUUAUAUUGUUUUUAAGUAUUGUGUCAGUGUUUCAUGUUUUUAAUAUCUGUGUGUCCUGUGUCACUGUUGCGUUGUGUUGAUAAUUAUGUUGUUUUUUA
rnacentral:lncRNA from 1 species